CCUACGGGGGGCAGCAGUGGGGAAUAUUGGACAAUGGGCGAAAGCCUGAUCCAGCCAUGCCGCGUGUGUGAAGAAGGCCUUCGGGUUGUAAAGCACUUUCAGUGGGGAAGAAAGCCUUGGGGCUAAUACCCUCGAGGAAGGACAUCACCCACAGAAGAAGCACCGGCUAACUCCGUGCCAGCAGCCGCGGUAAACGGAGGGUGCGAGCGUUAAUCGGAAUUACUGGGCGUAAAGCGCGCGUAGGCGGUCUGAUAAGCCGGUUGUGAAAGCCCCGGGCUCAACCUGGGAACGGCAUCCGGAACUGUCAGGCUAGAGUGCAGGAGAGGAAGGUAGAAUUCCCGGUGUAGCGGUGAAAUGCGUAGAGAUCGGGAGGAAUACCAGUGGCGAAGGCGGCCUUCUGGACUGACACUGACGCUGAGGUGCGAAAGCGUGGGUAGCAAACAGGAUUAGAUACCCCAGUAGUC
rnacentral:rRNA from 1 species